AUUGAACGCUGGCGGCAUGCUUUACACAUGCAAGUCGAACGGCAGCGCGGGCUUCGGCCUGGCGGCGAGUGGCGAACGGGUGUGUAAUACAUCGGAACUUGCCCAGUAGCGGGGGAUAGCUCGGCGAAAGGGGGAUUAAUACCGCAAUCGACCUGAGGGGGAAAGGGUGGGGUGCUGGGACCUCUCGGCUUUGGAGCGGCCGAUGGCAGAUUAGCUAGUUGGUGGGGUAAAGGCCUACCAAGGCGACGAUGGGUAGCUGGUCUGAGAGGGCGACCAGCCACACUGAGACUGAGACACGCCCUCAACUCCUACGGGAGGCACGAGUGGGGAAUUUUGGACAAUGGGCGAAAGCCUAAUCCAGCAAUGCCGCGUGUGUGAUGCAGGCCUUCGGGUUGUAAAGCACUUUUGGCGGGAACGAAAAGGACUCUGCCAAUACCACGGUUCGAUGACGGUACCCGCAGAAUAAGCACCGGCUAACUACGUG
rnacentral:rRNA from 1 species